rnacentral:rRNA from 1 species
GACGAACGCUGGCGGCGUGCUUAACUCAUGCAAGUCGAACGCUGAAGCUCAGCUUUUGUUGGGUGGAUGAGUGGCGAACGGGUGAGUAACACGUGAGUAACCUGCCCCCUUCUUUGGGAUAACGCCCGGAAACGGGUGCUAAUACUGGAUAUUCACUGGUCUUCGCAUGGGGGUUGGUGGAAAGGGUUUUUCUGGUGGGGGAUGGGCUCGCGGCCUAUCAGCUUGUUGGUGGGGUGAUGGCCUACCAAGGCUUUGACGGGUAGCCGGCCUGAGAGGGUGACCGGUCACAUUGGGACUGAGAUACGGCCCAGACUCCUACGGGAGGCAGCAGUGGGGAAUAUUGCACAAUGGGCGCAAGCCUGAUGCAGCGACGCCGCGUGAGGGAUGGAGGCCUUCGGGUUGUGAACCUCUUUCGCUCAUGGUCAAGCCGCAACAAUGGUUGUGGUGAGGGUAGUGGGUAAAGAAGCGCCGGCUAACUACGUG